ACAAAUGCCUUCUAAAAGUUUAGUUUCUAUUACAGGCCAUAUCCAUAAGACUUGGAUAACUAGAACUAAACUUAUAGCAAAUAAGGUCAUGAAACUUAGUAGCAAAUAAGAUCAUGAAAGUAAACAAAUUUUGUGAUUAAAACAAGGGCAAACCAGACUGGGAUUGGCGAUGCGAUUGAUCCUUUCUUGUGUAUACCCCCGUAAUCUUUUGAAAUUUUAAUUAGUUUGCUACGGCCAGCAAUACAAGAAAUGUGAAAG
rnacentral:lncRNA from 1 species